rnacentral:rRNA from 1 species
ACUCAAAUGAAUUGACGGGGGCCCGCACAAGCGGUGGAGCAUGUGGUUCAAUUCGACGCAACGCGAAGAACCUUACCCAGGCUUGAACCGCCGGUGACAGCCCUGGAAACAGGGUUUUCCUUCGGGACGCCGGUAGAGGUGCUGCAUGGCUGUCGUCAGCUCGUGUCGUGAGAUGUUGGGUUAAGUCCCGCAACGAGCGCAACCCUUGCCCUUAGUUACCAUCGGGUCAUGCCGGGGACUCUAAGGGGACUGCCCCGGAAAACGGGGAGGAAGGUGGGGAUGACGUCAAGUCCUCAUGGCCUUUAUGUCUGGGGCUACACACGUGCUACAAUGGGCGGUACAAAGGGUCGCAAUGCCGCGAGGCUGAGCUAAUCCCAAAAAACCGUCCCCAGUUCGGAUUGGAGUCUGCAACUCGACUCCAUGAAGUUGGAAUCGCUAGUAAUCGCGGAUCAGCACGCCGCGGUGAAUACGUUCCCGGGCCUUGUACACACCGCCCGU